rnacentral:lncRNA from 1 species
CAUCUAAACAUAGGACUAUACAGCCUCACUACACAAGGAUUCCAGAAGGAUGAAGGAUGAGGAACUGUUUGUUGCAUGCCUACUACGUUCCAGGCCCGAGUCAAAGCUUCUCUGAUAGAAGAGAGAUCAGUUUCAGAGAGUGGUGCAAAGUGAAGAUAGGGAAACAAGAGUGUAAAUGCAUCCAAGAAGUUUAGCUUUGAAGAGGAAGAGAGAGCAGGGUAUGUAACUAAAGAGGAAUAAAGGAUCCAGGUAGGUUUUGUGUUUGCUUUUGAAUGAUGUGACAGUUGUGCAUGUUUAGAUGACAAGAAGGAG